rnacentral:rRNA from 1 species
GUUGUUCGGAAUUACUGGGCGUAAAGGGCUCGUAGGCGGCCAACUAAGUCAGACGUGAAAUCCCUCGGCUUAACCGGGGAACUGCGUCUGAUACUGGAUGGCUAGAGGUUGGGAGAGGGAUGCGGAAUUCCAGGUGUAGCGGUGAAAUGCGUAGAUAUCUGGAGGAACACCGGUGGCGAAGGCGGCAUCCUGGACCAAUUCUGACGCUGAGGAGCGAAAGCGUGGGGAGCGAACAGG